rnacentral:misc_RNA from 1 species
GAUGAAGAACGCAGCGAAAUGCGAUAAGUAAUGUGAAUUGCAGAAUUCAGUGAAUCAUCGAAUCUUUGAACGCACAUUGCGCCCAUUAGUAUUCUAGUGGGCAUGCCUGUUCGAGCGUCAUUUCAACCCUUAAGCCUAGCUUAGUAUUGGGAAUCGACUUUACUGUCGUUCCUCAAAUUCAACGGCGGAUUUAUAGCAAUCUCUGAACGUAGUAAUUUUUUUCCUCGUUUUUGAGAUACUAUAAACCUCAGCCGCUAAACCCCCAAUUUUUCUAUGGUUGACCUCGGAUCAGGUAGGAAUACCCGCUGAACUUAAGCAUAUCAAUAAGCGGAGGA